rnacentral:lncRNA from 1 species
AUGGCCCCGGACGAGGAGGGGCUUUCGCGGCGCUACUUAGCCAGCGGAGAGAGGCUCUGUGACAGAAGUUUUGUUUGGGGUUUAUUUUUCCCUUUUUACUUUGCGGCAGAAGAAAACAACCAAGUAUUUCAGAAGUGCAGAGGGAAAAUCAUUUUACUAGAGGGAUCAGAAAAAGCUCUGUGGAAGAAGCUGGUGUCAGGUUGGUUAAGGGUAUACAGAAAAUGGCAACAUGUUCCGGGCAAGAAGAAAAGAUUAUCUUGUAUGCAUGGAAUCCAUUGAAGACUCUUGACAAAAUCACAGGGCACCGGAGGAGUGUUUUUUUUCUGCUCUUGGUCAAGUCUGCGAUCUCCACCCGCCUUGCCUCCCCAAGAAAAAAAGCAAUAAUACAAAGAGCUGGUGAGUGUGCCCUUCAACCACUGGACUACUUGACUGCCUUUGGUACUGUCUUCCCA